rnacentral:misc_RNA from 1 species
GAUGAAGAACGUAGUGAAAUGCGAUAAGUAGUGUGAAUUGCAGAAUUCAGUGAAUCAUCGAAUCUUUGAACGCACAUUGCGCCCCUUGGUAUUCCAUGGGGCAUGCCUGUUCGAGCGUCAUUACACCACUCAAGCUAUGCUUGGUAUUGGGCGUCGUCCUUAGUUGGGCGCGCCUUAAAGACCUCGGCGAGGCCACUCCGGCUUUAGGCGUAGUAGAAUUUAUUCGAACGUCUGUCAAAGGAGAGGAACUCUGCCGACUGAAACCUUUAUUUUUCUAGGUUGACCUCGUAUCAGGUAGGGAUACCCGCUGAACUUAAGCAUAUCAAUAAGCGGAGGA